UGUGACUGGUCAGGUGACCUAAAGGGUUCCCUUUGUCAUCCUAUGCCCGGAGCCGUCUGUAAGGCAGGGACAGCAAGGGGAGGCUCAGCUGUCACCCCUUCC
rnacentral:pre_miRNA from 12 species